GACGAACGCUGGCGGCGUGCUUAACACAUGCAAGUCGAACGGUAAGGCCCUUCGGGGUACACGAGUGGCGAACGGGUGAGUAACACGUGGGUGAUCUGCCCUGCACUUCGGGAUAAGCCUGGGAAACUGGGUCUAAUACCGGAUAGGACUCCUGCCUGCAUGGGUGGGGGGGGAAAGCUUUUGCGGUGUGGGAUGGGCCCGCGGCCUAUCAGCUUGUUGGUGGGGUGAUGGCCUACCAAGGCGACGACGGGUAGCCGGCCUGAGAGGGUGACCGGCCACACUGGGACUGAGAUACGGCCCAGACUCCUACGGGAGGCAGCAGUGGGGAAUAUUGCACAAUGAGCGCAAGCCUGAUGCAGCGACGCCGCGUGAGGGAUGACGGCCUUCGGGUUGUAAACCUCUUUCAGCACAGACGAAGCGUAAGUGACGGUAUGUGCAGAAGAAGGACCGGCCAACUACGUGCCAGCCGCCGCCGUAA
rnacentral:rRNA from 1 species